UCCCCCCAGCACUGCUCCCUGCGCGGAGGAAUUGCAGAACUGGUGUGCUGAGGCCGGCGAUCUCCGCCUAGGACUUCCCCUGCCUGUGACUCACACACAGGCGGAGAGCUGAGUCUCCCGACCACAGCCCUCCCUCCGGACACAGCCGGCACCAUUCGUCAGGACAGUCGAGCUCACCAUGUCGACCACCAGAGUACGAGAAGUCUGCUGCCUCUCCUUGUUCAUCUUCUCCUCCCUUCUGGACUCCACCUUCCCUGUGUCUGACCCCGGCCGUGUGUGACGGGAUGGUGUGGAGGGAGCUUCGCCCUGCGUCUGACCCCGGCCGUGUGUGACGGGACGGUGUGGAGGGAGCUUCGCCCUGUGUCUAACCCCGGGAGUGUGUGAUGGGACGGUGCGGAGGGAGCUUCGCCCUGUGUCUCACCCCGGGAGUGUGUGAUGGGACGGUGUGGAGGGAGCCUCACCCUGUGUCUGACCCCGGGAGUGUGUGACGGGACGGUGCGGAGGGAGCCUCACCCCAUGUCUGACCCCGGGAUUGUGUGAUGGGACGGUGCGGCGGGAGCUUCACUCUGUGUCUAUCCUGUACCCUGAACCGUGAGUGGACAAAAUGG